rnacentral:rRNA from 1 species
GACAGAGGAUGCAAGCGUUAUCCGGAAUGAUUGGGCGUAAAGCGUCUGUAGGUGGCUUUUUAAGUCCGCCGUCAAAUCCCAGGGCUCAACCCUGGACAGGCGGUGGAAACUACCAAGCUGGAGUACGGUAGGGGCAGAGGGAAUUUCCGGUGGAGCGGUGAAAUGCGCAGAUAUCAGGAGGAACACCAAUGGCGAAGGCAGCUCGCUGGGACGGUACUGACGCUGAGACGCGAAAGCGUGGGGAGCAAACAGG